AAUGGGAUUUUUUUUGGGGGGGGUGGAUUUUGAUACUAAAUCUUUAAUAUUUGCUUAGGGAUUUUCCUUUACCUUUUUUUUAAAACUUUGGUUCACUUUUAAGUAUUAAUUUGCAUGUCAAGAUGUAACACUUCAGAAUAAUUUAAAUUCAUUUUCUUAGUACUUCAAGAAAGAACAUAGCCAAUGAAUGUUGAAUAAGUGAUUUAGUGGUCCACAGUGGGGGAGAAAUGGAUGUAGCAUCUCAAGAAUGGCUGCUGGCAUGCAAUGCAAAUUGUUUAUUGUGUUUGACUUAAUUUUUCAGUGUAUAUGAAUGAAAUAAUGUUAAUUUCAAAAGUGGCUUAAGAUCUUCAUAUGAAGCUCUUUGACGGACAGAGUAACUGCAUAAAUAAGCAGAAUUUCAAAUUUGAUUAUCAAAAUCUACUGUGGAUCACAGACUGAAGAUCAAAUGUUAGGAUCACAGACUGAAGAU
rnacentral:lncRNA from 1 species